UACAGAGGGGGCAAGCGUUAUUCGGAAUUAUUGGGCGUAAAGGGCGCGUAGGCGGCUUUUCAAGUGACGGGUGAAAUCCCUCGGCUUAACCGAGGAACUGCCUGUCAGACUGGAAGGCUUGAGACCGGGAGAGGUGAGUGGAAUUCCCAGUGUAGCGGUGAAAUGCGUAGAUAUUGGGAGGAACACCAGUGGCGAAGGCGGCUCACUGGACCGGAACUGACGCUGAGGCGCGAAAGCCAGGGGAGCAAACGGG
rnacentral:rRNA from 1 species